CUUCCUUCCGGAGACCGUGCGUGCUCUUAGCUGAGUGGGCACGGGAGACGGAUCGUUUACUUUGAAAAAAUCAGAGUGUUUCAAGCAGGCAGCUCGCUCUUGCAUGGAUUAGCAUGGGAUAAUGAAAUAGGACUCUGGUGCUAUUUUGUUGGUUUCGAACACCGGAGUAAUGAUCAACAGGGACAGUCAGGGGCACUCGUAUUCCGCCGAGAGAGGUGAAAUUCUCAGACCAGCGGAAGACGAACCACUGCGAAAGCAUUUGCCAGGGAUGUUUUCACUGAUCAAGAACGAAAGUUAGGGGAUCGAAGACGAUCAGAUACCGUCGUAGUCUUAACCAUAAACCAUGCCGACUAGGGAUUGGGGGCUGUUCAUUGUCGACUCCCUCAGCACCUUUCGGGAAACUAAAGUCUUUGGGUUCCGGGGGG
rnacentral:rRNA from 1 species